rnacentral:rRNA from 1 species
AGCAUAUCAAUAAGCGGAGGAAAAGAAACUAACUAGGAUUCCCUUAGUAACGGCGAGUGAACCGGGAUGAGCUCAAAUUUAAAAUCUGGCGUCUUUCAGGCGUCCGAGUUGUAAUCUAUAGAGGCGUUUUCCGCGCCGGACCGCGUCCAAGUCUCUUGGAAUAGAGUAUCAAAGAGGGUGACAAUCCCGUACUUGACGCGACAACCGGUGCUCUGUGAUACGUUCUCAAUGAGUCGAGUUGUUUGGGAAUGCAGCUCUAAAUGGGUGGUAAAUUCCAUCUAAGGCUAAAUAUUGGCGAGAGACCGAUAGUGAACAAGUACCGUGAGGGAAAGAUGAAAAGCACUUUGGAAAGAGAGUUAAACAGCACGUGAAAUUGUUAAAAGGGAAACGAUUGAAGUCAGUCGUGUGAAAGGUAUUCAGCCGUCUCUGGCGGUGUAUUUGCCUUUCACGGGUCAACAUCAGUUUGAUCCGGUAGAAAAAGGCGGGAGGAA